AUUGAACGCUGGCGGCAUGCCUUACACAUGCAAGUCGAACGGUAAUAGGUCUUCGGAUGCUGACGAGUGGCGAACGGGUGAGUAAUACAUCGGAACGUGCCCGAGAGUGGGGGAUAACGAGGCGAAAGCUUUGCUAAUACCGCAUACGAUCUCAGGAUGAAAGCAGGGGACCGCAAGGCCUUGCGCUCACGGAGCGGCCGAUGGCCGAUUAGGUAGUUGGUGGGAUAAAAGCUUACCAAGCCGACGAUCUGUAGCUGGUCUGAGAGGACGACCCGCCAAACUGGGACUGAGACACGGCCCAUACUCCUACGGGAGGCAGCAGUGGGGAAUUUUGGACAAUGGGCGCAAGCCUGAUCCAGCCAUGCCGCGUGCAGGAUGAAGGCCUUCGGGUUGUAAACUGCUUUUGUACGGAACGAAAAGACUCUGGUUAAUACCUGGGGUCCAUGACGGUACCGUAAGAAUAAGCACCGGCUAACUACGUGCCAGCAGCCGCGGUAACAC
rnacentral:rRNA from 1 species